CCUACGGGGCGCAGCAGUGGGGAAUAUUGGACAAUGGGCGAAAGCCUGAUCCAGCCAUGCCGCGUGUGUGAAGAAGGCCUUCGGGUUGUAAAGCACUUUCAGUGGGGAAGAAAGCCUUGGGGCUAAUACCCUCGAGGAAGGACAUCACCCACAGAAGAAGCACCGGCUAACUCCGUGCCAGCAGCCGCGGUAAUACGGAGGGUGCGAGCGUUAAUCGGAAUUACUGGGCGUAAAGCGCGCGUAGGCGGUCUGAUAAGCCGGUUGUGAAAGCCCCGGGCUCAACCUGGGAACGGCAUCCGGAACUGUCAGGCUAGAGUGCAGGAGAGGAAGGUAGAAUUCCCGGUGUAGCGGUGAAAUGCGUAGAGAUUGGGAGGAAUACCAGUGGCGAAGGCGGCCUUCUGGACUGACACUGACGCUGAGGUGCGAAAGCGUGGGUAGCAAACAGGAUUAGAUACCCUGGUAGUC
rnacentral:rRNA from 1 species